rnacentral:sRNA from 1 species
GUGUAGAAUGGCGAUCUGCUUGCAGCAUCUGUCAUCCAUCUUGUCUGGCUACAACAUCUGCCACCCUGGGGAAGCCCCGGUUGAUUGGCCAGUCUGCUCCUUUCCUCCUUUACUGCAUCCCUCCCCAAGCUGAGCCCUUGAUGAUCUUGUCUGGUAGAGGAGGACUGUCCUUUGAUCAAGGUGUAUGAGUAACUGCCCCACCCCCACGCCCCUCAGCUUCUAAAUAAAUUCCUUUAGGAUAGAGGUGGGUAAAUGAUUAGGAAGAGUUGCUCUUCACUG